AUGAAUUGUCAAGGGGGGGUUGUUGCUGGCCUCUCAUCUGAUAAGCAUGUGCACGCCCCCUUUUUACAUCCAUCCACACCUGUGCACCCUCUGUAGUUCCAAAGUGGGAGAGCCCAUAAGGCUUUCACAAUCUGGCACUAUGUCUCUUUACAAACGCUUUAUGUAUAGAGUGUCGGCUCAGCGUAUAUAAACGCAGAAAUAUAAAA
rnacentral:misc_RNA from 1 species